rnacentral:pre_miRNA from 1 species
UACAUACUCCCUCUGUUCGGAAUUACUCGUCCAAGAAAUGAAUGUAUCUAGAUGUAUUUUAGUUGUAGAUACAUCCUUUUUUGUGACAAGUAAUUCCGAACGGAGGGAGUACUAC